GUCCCCCCCAUUAAUGAGGGAACAGUGAGGUUGGUUUUAGCCCGUCGUGAAACAGGUUAAGUUUUACCCCAUAGGGUGAACAGGUCGCCGGAAUCAGUAUUUCAAUUUUAGUACGAGAGGGACCGGUGGAUUCAAGAUAAUUUGGUUUUGCGGGCGGUCUGACCCAGGGCAGUGCCCGCGACGGCUACCAUCUGCCGAGAUUAUGGCUGAACGCCUCUAAGUCAGAAUCCGUGCCCGAAACGCGGGCGAUGUUGCCUCGCACGUCGUAGUUGGAUACGAAUAGGCCUUCCGGGCCCCCGAACCUCAGCAGGUUGGCGGCGGUGUCCGGAGAGAGACCCUCGGGCGCCAGCUAACGGAUUGCAAUGUCACAACGCGCGGGGAUAGAUCCUCUGCAGACGACUGAAAUGACCAAGCGGGUCGUGUAAGCGGUCAAGUAGCCUAGUUGUUACGAGUCGCUGAGCGUCAGCCCGAUCCUUGGCUCGAUUUGU
rnacentral:ncRNA from 1 species